CACCAAGACAACGAUGGAUAGGGGUUCUGAGAGGAAGGUCCCCCACAUUGGAACUGAGACACGGUCCAAACUCCUACGGGAGGCAGCAGUGAGGAAUAUUGGUCAAUGGACGAGAGUCUGAACCAGCCAAGUAGCGUGAAGGAUGACUGCCCUAUGGGUUGUAAACUUCUUUUAUAUGGGAAUAAAACGUUCCACGUGUGGAAUUUUGUAUGUACCAUAUGAAUAAGGAUCGGCUAACUCCGUGCCAGCAGCCGCGGUAAUACGGAGGAUCCGAGCGUUAUCCGGAUUUAUUGGGUUUAAAGGGAGCGUAGGUGGAUUGUUAAGUCAGUUGUGAAAGUUUGCGGCUCAACCGUAAAAUUGCAGUUGAAACUGGCAGUCUUGAGUACAGUAGAGGUGGGCGGAAUUCGUGGUGUAGCGGUGAAAUGCUUAGAUAUCACGAAGAACUCCGAUUGCGAAGGCAGCUCACUGGACUGCAACUGACACUGAGGCUCGAAAGUGUGGGUAUCAAACAGGAUUAGAUACCCUGGUAGUCCACACAGUAAACGAUGAAUACUCGCUGUUUGCGAUAUACAGCAAGCGGC
rnacentral:rRNA from 1 species